rnacentral:rRNA from 1 species
GAUGAACGCUAGCGAUAGGCUUAACACAUGCAAGUCGAGGGGCAGCGAGGGUAGCACUCCCUGUCGGCGACCGGCGCACGGGUGAGUAACGCGUAUGUAACCUGCCCGCAACAGGGGGAUAACCCGGCGAAAGUCGGACUAAUACCGCCUAAAACAGGGGUCCCGCAUGGGAAUAUCUGUUAAAGAUUUAUCGGUUGCGGCUGGGCAUGCGUACCAUUAGGUAGUUGGUGAGGUAACGGCUCACCAAGGCUUCGAUGGUUAUGGGUUCUGAGAGGAAGGUCCCCCACACUGGUACUGAGGCACGGACCAGAAUGGUACGGGAGGGUGCAGUGAGGAGGAUUGGUCAAUGAGCGAGAGCCUGAACCAGCCAAGUGUCGUGAAAGGUGACUGCCCUAGGGGUGGUAAACUUCUUUUACAAGGGAGUAGUAUGUGAUACGUGUAUUUUAUUGCAGGUACCUUGAGAAUAAGCAUCGGCUAACUCCGUG